GAUGAACGCUGGCGGCGUGCUUAACACAUGCAAGUCGAACGAUGAAGCCCAGCUUGCUGGGUGGAUUAGUGGCGAACGGGUGAGUAACACGUGAGUAACCUGCCCUUAACUCUGGGAUAAGCCUGGGAAACUGGGUCUAAUACCGGAUAGGAGCGUCCACCGCAUGGUGGGUGUUGGAAAGAUUUAUCGGUUUUGGAUGGACUCGCGGCCUGUCAGCUUGUUUGUGAGGUAAUGGCUCACCAAAGCGACGACGGGUAGCCGGCCUGAGAGGGGGACCGGCCAAACCAGGCCGGGGAUAAGGCCCAGACCCCUACGGGAGGCAGGAGGGGGGAAGAUUAGCCAACGGGCGCAAGCCUGAUGCAGCGACGCCGCGUGAGGGAUGACGGCCUUCGGGUUGUAAACCUCUUUCAGUAGGGAAGAAGCGAAAGUGACGGUACCUGCAGAAGAAGCACCGGCUAACUACGUG
rnacentral:rRNA from 1 species